GCCCCCUGGGAUGUGACCUCACUGUGCAGUGUGCAACCUAGACCACUGAGCCCAGUUACCCUGAAGAGUAACUGGAUCUGCACUCACCUCUCCAGAGCUCAGGCACCGCCUCCUUCAUGCUCUGGCUCCAUUGCCUCCAUUUGUCCCUACGAAGGUCCCCAAGCACCGGGCUGAGAGCACUGGCGGCUUAUCCCAGAACGUCCCCCCCUGCCCCCCCCUGCAGUGACCAGAAUAGUGUCUCCACCCCACGGGCUGCCGGGAGAGCGGGUCAGCUACUGCGGUGAAGCCGAAGCUGCCUCUGUCCUCAGGCCUUCAGAAGAAGAGUGAGAAGAGUUAAAUGAUCCGAAGUUGCCUCUGUCGGGUGUUUGUCACAGUGCAGAAAGCUGACCAGCGCAGCAUUCUCUACAGGUUCUAGAUCCACGUUCCUUGUCAGAUGUAUGGUUUGUAGACAUUUUCUUUGCCCUGAAGGUCGUCUUGGCUUUCUCAAUGGCCUCCUUUGGAGCAUAAAUGCUUUUGUUUUUGAUGGA